CAAGGGGCGUGGCCGUUCGAACCUUCCUACCUGCACAGCUGUGGCCUGUUCCACUAAUCAACCUUGCAAUACUUACACCUGGGCAGAACUCUCCAUCGGGGCCAGAUCGUUGCAUCUACCCAUGUGACCUACGCCUCAAGACCUGCUGCCGUUGUCUGCUGUUCCGCCAGCUCAACACCACUCAGACUUUGCAACCUCCCUGCUCGGAUACAAGAGAUACAGUUUGGACGCACCACUGCCUGCCCGCUUCAGUAUCGAUCCAGUCCUGAGUCCUCAAGCCCUGUACCUUCCUUCCUUGGCUACUAUGAGUACAACUUUCAUUAAAACGUUUAAAAUCGUUA